CCCUUAGACGUUCUGGGCCGCACGCGCGCUACACUGACCAGUGCAACAAGCAUCCGUCCUUGGCCGACAGGCCCGGGCAAUCUUUGGACGCUGGUCGUGAUGGGGAUAGACUUUUGCAAUUUUUGGUCUUCAACGAGGAAUUCCUAGUAAACGCAAGUCAUCAACUUGCAUUGAUUACGUCCCUGCCCUUUGUACACACCGCCCGUCGCACCUACCGAUUGAAUGGUCCGGUGAACCAUCUGGAUUGGAUCGCAAGAUUCGAGAAGUUUAGUAAACCUUAUCACUUAGAGGAAGGAGAAGUCGUAACA
rnacentral:rRNA from 1 species